rnacentral:rRNA from 1 species
GAUGAACGCUGGCGGCGUGCCUAAUACAUGCAAGUCGAGCGGAAGGACGAGAAGCUUGCUGCGCUCAUGUUAGCCGCGGGCGUGUGUGUAACACGUGUAUCACCUCCCUAUAAUACUGGUAUCACUUCGGAACACCGUAGCUAAUACCGUAGAAUAUUUUGCACCGCAUGGUUGAAAGGAAAAAGACGGUGUUGCUGUCACUACUAGCUGGUUCCGCGCUGCAUUAGCUAGUUGGUAAGGUAACGGCUUACCAAGGCAACGAUGCGUAGCCGAGGUGAGAGGGGGAUCGGCCACACGGGAACUGAGCCACGGUCCAGGCGCCUGCGGGAGGCACCAGUCGGGAACCUGCCGCAGUGGGCGAAAGCCUGACGGAAUAACGCCGCGUGAGUGACGACGGUCUCCGGAUCGUAAAGCUCUGCUAUGAGGUAAAAACAGAUGUGUAAGGAACUGAGGACAGCUUGACGGUACUUAAUCAGAAAGCAACGGCUAACUACGUG